UACGUAGGGGGCGAGCGUUGUCCGGAUUUAUUGGGCGUAAAGAGCGUGUAGGCGGCCAGGUAGGUCUGCUGUGAAAACUCGAGGCUCAACCUCGAGACGUCGGCGGAAACCAUCUGGCUAGAGUCCGGAAGAGGAGAGUGGAAUUCCUGGUGUAGCGGUGAAAUGCGCAGAUAUCAGGAAGCACACCCGUGGCGAAGGCGGCUCUCUGGGACGGUACUGACGCUGAGACGCGAAAGCGUGGGGAGCGAACAGG
rnacentral:rRNA from 1 species